GGUUUCUAUAGUCUGUAACAUGGUAACUCACCAUCAGGUUGAUAGGAGGUUUCUAUAGUCUGUAACAUGGUAACUCACCAUCAGGUUGUUAGGAGGUUUCUAUAGUCUGUAACAUGGUAACUCACCAUCAGGUUGUUAGGAGGUUUCUAUAGUCUGUAACAUGGUAACUCACCAUCA